UCGAUUUCCGAGCUUAUAAAGCCAGGGUCGUUACACAUUUCAUAAAAAAGUAAACUUCUAAAAUAGUGUAUCUAAUGGUUGCAUGCUAAUUGCUAACUGCUGAUUUUAGCUAGCUCAACACUAGGCGCUAGCUAGCCUACCAUUUCUCCCUACUAGCUAGUUACUUUUAGUUUAUGUUGUUGUUGGCUAGCUGUUCAUGGGUUUUUGUUACAUUUAAUCCACAGGCCUCUUCUAUCAUUUUUUUGUACAACUGUUGUCGCCCAUACAAUGCAUUGGUGUAUAUUUAGUGGUUUUGCACACUACAAUCUUUAGUGAUAAUCUAGCUAACACAAGCUAGGUAACUAGCAAGCUAAUUAACCCGGUUCAAACCCUGAUGCAUUAUGCAUACACACCUAGUAAGACAUACAUUUUUGCAAAGGCAAUUAGAUAGACUUGCAAUCUCUCUGACACACAGAUUUACUUCCCAGCACAAUGUGUCUGUGUGAUGUCAAAGAGCACGAACACGUCACCGGAUGUUAAUGUUCAUUCAAACAGUGAAAAAUAGUGGUACUAUCAAAGGUUCUUGUGCCACCUAUUACGAGAAUAUGAGGCGGGAGUAUCUCUCAGGUUUACCUGAGAACAUAGGGGACACAAUCUUAGAGAUCCAUGCAAAGAAGGGUCGCCAAAGGAGAAGUACAGAGAGAUGAUGAUGAUCCCCAGAGGGAGGGGAGGGAGUUUGUUGAGGAAGAACCAGUGGGCCAGCUCAAGAACGAGCCCAAGAAGACAGGAAAGGUAAAAUGGCAGGAGUGACAGGGAAACUACUAGACUAGUAACACUCAAUUGUCACAAUAGCUGCAUUGACCUGAUGUAACAUGUCUAUUAUUUGUGAUCUGGAAUCUAUUCUAUUAUAUUCUAUCCAAGGCGAAGAGGAAAAGUAGUGCCAAGAAGUCAGGGGAGCAGGGCACUGAUACGGAUGCAGGUCAUAGAUUUUCCCUCUGUAGUAUGUUGGUUCUCUAAACCUGCAUAUCAUAGAUAAAGGUCAUGUUAGAAACUGUAGUCAAACUGGAGUCAGUAAGAAAAUGUUGCAUGGAUAGUUUUAUUCAAUAGUCCUAUUGUAGCAAUUUUAUCGAAGUAUUGUAUUAAGAGAAAAGCGUCUGACUUAUCCUGAAUUGUCCUAUACGGUAAUAACAUAUUUAGGAUUGAGGAAUAAACACCUGGUCAGAGGAUCUGUUAUUGAGCUCUUGGAGAAGAAUGCUCUUAAGGCUGCAUUCGGCCCAGGCAACAAAGAUGAGAUGGAGGACUGCUACCCAAUCCUCAUCUCAUUCAUGCGCAAUCUUACUGAUGAGUAUGUUAGGCCCAUGUUUUGCUCUAGCCUCACAUAUUUUGUGCAGAAGGAAAUAAAAAGUAACUAAAACACAUUUAUUUUUUAUUUUCUAGGCAAUGGCAAGUGAUCUAUAAAGGAUUUUAAAAACCUGUAAGUUUCUCCAUCAGCCUUUGCCCUUUGAUUUGGGAAUGUUGUGUUGAAUAAAGAGAGAGGAAUUAACCAUAGUUCUAUUCUGCUAUUACGUUCAUUAAUCUGUCAUACUUCAUUCAACUUUGAAUUCAGUCACAGAUAAGGAAAACGAUGUUGAUAAAAUGCAUUCUGUUCAAUCUAGAAUACUUUACAUCAGAGUUUAUUUGCCAAACCUGCUG
rnacentral:lncRNA from 13 species